UAAAGAAAAAUAAAGGAGAUGUUAUUGCAAGACUGACGACUCUCUUCAACCAUGUGUUGAUAAUUUCAAGCAACAUUAUUUUGUUUUGUUCACCUUCAAUUUGAUUGUUAAUCAACUAAGAAUAUCGGGAUUUUACAUCUUUAUCCAAUUAACUAUCAACCUUUCUGUCUUUCAUUGCUUCAAUAAAUCACUGAUUGUCACAACCUUAAUAAUGCCAAUAUCACCUAAACCAGUGAACCUAAUAUCACUCAUAUGCUUCAAGUCGGUAAACCUGUUCUUUUGGGCAACUGUGUUCUUAAUUGUUUCAAUUAUUAAUUAUUCACAAUUUUACACAAAACAGCCAACAUUUUUGCCAUAUUUGCUUCAUCAUCUGUAUCAUUAAUUUGAGACAGGUCAAUUGUCAACGGUUGUCAAUUAUUUCAAGUUUAUCGGUUGAUCACUUUCAUAAUGGCAUUCAAUGUUAUAUUUCAACACGUAAGAAAUUAAGAAAUAUCAGCUGAUACUUGGUGCAUCUGAUUGACGUUGGCAUUUAUAUACAUUUGGCUAUAACCGUAACUGUCUAUAUUUUCAACUAAAAUUGAAUUUUAAAGUCAUCUGGGUUGGUUUCCUAUUUACUUUCUCAAGGAAAUUACCUCAUCCUAAAUUACUAUUAGCGCUUAUCAUUUCAAAUCAUUUUACGUCUAUAUUGCUUCACACCUUGGUAAUCUUGACAGUCAUCAUUUCCAUGAAAGACCUUCAUCGAUCUUAACAAGAUGAAAUUUUCACAUCAACUGCAUGCGAAGUUUAGGAAAUGGCGAAACUAAACAUUCACAAUUUCCUUAUCCAGCCAAUUGAAUGAAAUACAACGACUUUACUGACCAAUUUUACCUCUGGCCUUUGACUAAACAAUGUCCAUUCAACUCAUGACUUGCCUUUUCAUCUGGAAAACAUGAUGGAAGUGCCUGCAAGUUAAAUCGUUACCGCAUGUUCAAUUGUCCAUCAAGAGGAUGAUAUUUAUGCAUCUUAUCAGCAAACCUCAAACUUGUUCCUGUUUGUGAAGUAAUGUAUUUAUAGUAAAAUGGCCAGUAGGAUAAAUUAAAUAGCCAAGGCCAGAAUCUUUCCAUCAUUUGAGUUCACAUGGACUCGUUAACACCAUUAAACAACUUCAAUGUUUCGUCGUCUGAAGCUUGGCUUCAUUUUCACUUCUUUGGACCUAGGAAAGGCCUUGUACCUGUUGCUCAUAUCAUUGAAUGAUGAAUGUCCAGAAUAUUUUCCAACAGUUCACACCAACUUUUCCAUGAUUUCAAGUUCAUCUGAUGACGGCAAAUGAUUAUCAAGCUUUUGAAAAUGUUUACUUUGAAUCUCAACUGAGCGGAAUAGUUUCUCCUCGCGCAAGUUAGUUUAAAUAUUAAUAAGCUGUUCACAAGGAAUGGCAUGAUGAAAAAAUAUUGAAAAGCUGCAAAUGAGAGGAAACAUGUCAAAGGUCAUUAAAUUAUUGGUAACUUGAAAGACUAAACAACUGUAAUGUUCAACUGGACCGUAAACUGCAAGAAUCAAAAAGGUACAAAGUUUAAAAGAGGGUCACAAAAGUAAUCAAAAGAGUGAAAUAAUUAAACGGGAAAAAAGCGAUAUCGAUAAAAGGCAAAGUAUACAAAUUGCGAAAAGUAAUUCAACAAAAUUUGAAAGUUGAAAUCUUUGAAAACGGAAAAAGUGUCAUUAUUAGUAUAUCAUCAUUUCAAAUAUUCAUGGCAAUAAACAUUGGCAGAGGUCAGAUACAGUUAACAAUCAAGGUGAACUUGUUUCCAUUCACAUGAACAUUAAACUCAAUUAAAUCAAUAUGGUUAUGACUGGCUCUACAGAUUGGAAAAACACAAUUUAAUAAUUACUUCAAAUUCAUUAUCAAUACAAUUUCAGCUUUUGUUUAAUAUUGAUAUUAGAAUCCAUUGAGAACAGAAUUGUUAAUGGAUUCAUUGUCAAUUUGUCAUAUGCUCAACAUCGUUAAUCAAUGCAAAAAAUUCUUAUUUCUGGAUCAUUUUUGCUAAAAAACUAACAAGCAACUUUAAGCUUUAAAAUUUUUUCAUGUUAACGUUUUUUGUUUCAAUGUGAAUUGACUUUAACAAUCUUA